CGUUCAGAUUGAACGCUGGCGGAAUGCUUUACACAUGCAAGUCGAACGGCAGCAUAGGUGCUUGCACCUGAUGGCGAGUGGCGAACGGGUGAGUAAUACAUCGGAACGUGCCCAGUCGUGGGGGAUAACGUAGCGAAAGUUACGCUAAUACCGCAUACGAUCUACGGAUGAAAGCGGGGGACCGUAAGGCCUCGCGCGAUUGGAGCGGCCGAUGUUAGAUUAGGUAGUUGGUGGGGUAAAGGCUCACCAAGCCGACGAUCUAUAGCUGGUCUGAGAGGAUGAUCAGCCACACUGGGACUGAGACACGGCCCAGACUCCUACGGGAGGCAGCAGUGGGGAAUUUUGGACAAUGGGCGCAAGCCUGAUCCAGCCAUUCCGCGUGCAGGACGAAGGCCUUCGGGUUGUAAACUGCUUUUGUACAGAACGAAAAGCUCUGAGUUAAUACCUCGGGGUCAUGACGGUACUGUAAGAAUAAGCACCGGCUAACUACGUG
rnacentral:rRNA from 1 species